ACAAUUCAAUGUUUUUAAUUAACUUAAUUAAAUAAAAUAUUCCACUACAGAAAAAGACUCUCCUCACGCAACUCUCUCUCUCUCCCAUCAUUCCCUCUUCCUUUCCUCUCUACCGGUUCCCUCUUCUUUCCCGGCGAGCGUCGCCGGUUCUCGUCGCCUCCGGCGCGGCGAGUCCUGUUCCUUCCUCUUCCCCCUUCCCUUUAUUCUAUAUCUUCCCCUAUUUUCUGAAUUUAGAGAUAGAUCUAGGGUUUUCUUAAUUUGCUGCAGUCUGCUCCUCCGGUGAACUUCGCCGCUGCCGCCGACGUGCCCAUCGCACCGCCGCCCUCUCUGAUUCAGGAACCGAGGUUUCAAGGGAUUGCUCAAGACUCCAUUUUUAUGAGUGAUAAGUCUGUUUCCUUUUUAUUGCUUAUUGAGAAACAACUGUAUUCGUGAGACUAGAACUGUAUAUGUGAGAUUAGAAUUAGAGAUAUGUAACUAUUGUUCAUCUUGGUUGUCGAUUACUGUUUUAGCAAAGAGAUAAUUGUACUGAAUAAAGAAAACUACCUUCUCUGA